UACAGAAUACAGGUGACAAUAAAACAGAUGAUAUGAACAAACUAACUAGACUUCCUUUAGUGUUUGUAUUUCUAUAAAAUAUUUAAUAAAUAUUGAAAAUAAUAGAGACUUUUGUAAAAAAAAUGUGUUUACGAGAAGACUUCUUCCCUAAUAUUGUGUUUUGGUUGUUGAUUCACGCAGUUGUUCCAGGCUCCCGUCAUGAAAACACAUACAAAUAAUGGAGCAAUGAAGAUUAUAACUUUAUUUAGAUCUUCUAUAGGAAAAUAGUCAUGAAUGGGACGACGAUGGAACAACAACACCAUCAUCAUCAUCACCAUCACCAAAGCAAACACAGAAGUCACCAUGGACACCAUGGUAGUCACCACCACCAUCAUCAUCAUUCAUCCUCCUCAUCAUCAACUUCAUCUCAUCACCACCAUACCAAACCAAGGAAUUACAAAAUGUUAGUCGAUCCCUUUUUGGUGAAAGGAUCAACAAAAUUGUAUAGAUAUGAUGGGACAAUACCUAAUGAUCCGACCUACCCACCAGUACAAGUGCGAGAUCCAAGAUCGCAGCUUACACGAAUAUGGACAAGGCUUGAACCUUUAGAUCUUCCUGUUCCACGUUUUAAGAUUGAUGGAAACUAUGUUGGUGAGCCCCCACCACUAGAAGUUACUAUUUUUAACUUGAAUGACAACAUCGACAAAUCUUUCUUAGCUGAAAAGGUUCAAAAAGCUGGGACAGUGGAGGACUUGUAUAUCUAUUAUCACCCAUUGACUAAUAAACAUCUUGGUCUGGCUCAUAUUGUAUUUGAGGAUAUCAAAUCUGCGCGUGCCUGCAUUGAUCGCCUCAACAACACCUCAGUAAUGGGGAAGCUGCUCAAAGUCUUUCUGGACCCGUUUGGAGAAGAAUGUCAGAAAAAAUUUACUGAAAUGACAACAGAAAAGAAAAUAGAAAAAGAAACAACAUCUAAUACAGAGAUAAAAUCUGAAGAUAAUAGUUCAAAAUCAAAAACAAGCAAAGAUAGGGAAGACAAUCCAAAAACAAAGCAGACAUCUACAGCAAAUGUGAAACCACCUUCAGAUAAAGAGAAAAGUCUUGAAGAGAAAGAAGACAGACCUAGCCAAAACUCCGAUUAUAGAAACUAUAAUAGAGUCAGAGAGUUCUCGACCCCAAGUUCAGCAAGCACAGAUUCGAGUUAUGUUACAGGAUCCUCAGAAACAUCGUCGUUUUGCACAAGCAAGACAGAUAGGAGCUAUAGCACUCCGGGCUUCUCAAGUGGCACUCCAUCUCCAUUUGACACCACCUCUUUUCCUCAGUACAACCAUGUCCAACCUGCCUCUGCCAUGUCCUUCCCGAUCCCUCCCCCAGCCCCACCACUCUCUCACCUGCCACCCCCCGCUAAUCAUCUGUCACUGGCACAUUCCAGACAUCCAAUUCCAAACAUGCCUCAUACCAAUCUUCCAAUGCCAUUUCGCUUACCGACCCCACACACACUUCCUCCUCCCAACUGUCCACCUCCAAACUGUCCUCCUCCCAAUUGCCCUCCUCCCAAUUGCCCUCCUCCCAAUUGCCCUCCUCCCAAUUGCCCUCCUCCCAACUGUCCACCUCCUAGUUGUCUCCCUCCCAACCUUCCCCCACCCAACUGUCCACCACCCAACCAUCAUCCCCCACCACCACCUCCACCACCUCCCAAUCAUCAUCUUAGCGGACAUCAUGCAGUCAUGAACCAUCCAAGACCGCAUUGGAACAAUUGGUCGGAUGGAGUAGGCAGACCUGCAAUGCCAUCUCUCCAGAACCACAGAUGGGAUUCUCCUGACAAAUCAAUGCCCCUUCAUCAGAGUAUGGUAGGACUCCCUUUGCCCAAGACAACUCCUACGUGGGCACCUGUCACUAUGAGCCAACAUCAUCUAGAACAAAAAGCACCUGCUAGUAAUCCUCAACAACUCAGUCCAUGUUUACCUCCAGGUGUUCCGGGCCAGAGUUCACAGAAUCUAGAUCUCGAUACAAGAAUAGAAAUGCUACUAAAAGACAGAACUACUGGAGGCAUGAAUCCACCGUUUUUGAGAAUAAUGAGUGAUUCAGGAGGAUCUGAUGACGAAUCAAGAAAAUCACCAUCGAAAAGAAAAAGAAAGCUAGAUGAUGAAAGAGUCGGUGUGAAACGGCUGUGUGGGGGAGAUCCACUAUACUCUAGUGAUAAUGCUCCAACUCAGCCUAAAGAAAAAGUGGCAAUAGAAUCUGUCGAAGUACCAAGAUCUCCUCUAUCACAACCACCAUCGCCGUUUAUUUCAGAAGAAGUGUACUUACAUUGGUACAGAAAAGGCAUAGAACAAACAAGACAAGCGAAGAUUCAAGAGAUAGGACUUCUGUCAAAUGUUGCUAAAGUUUUAACAAAAGAUGACUUAAUACAUAGUGAAAUAAGUUCGAGUGAGGAUGAAAUUCUGACCAGAAAAAGCCCCUCACCCAAUAAGAACUGGCAAGAAGAUAAUGUAGACCACAAAUCAACACCAUUACAAGAUGAGAUGGAUGACAGGAUGAGUCUGUCUAGUUUAAGCUCUGGAGACGAGAAGAUUGAGUCUCUGCCAACUCCUUACCAACAGCACCAUCCACCUCUGAGUACCCAUCUCCCUACCACCCACCAAUUACUCCCACCAUUACAUCCCGUCCACCGACCUCCUCCACCCAUGCCUCCCAUGUCGACCCCUCCUCCUAGAAUGUUUCCCAACGUUCCUCCACCUCCCAUACCAAACACGCCAUACCCUCCGUACCACACCAACAACUUCCAUCCUUCUCAUUACCCCCAAAUGCAGGGUCACCACCAGCAGCACCCUCCUUACCAACCUCCGAACUACAACCAGCACCCUGCACAAUUCUGGCAGAGGCCCCCUAUGCAUUCCGGGAAUAUGUAUCCUAUGUACAAUAUGCCGCCGUACCCGCAGUUCCAUGGGCGGUCUGUUCCUGUAAAUAGGCCACAAUAUCCAAUGAGGCCACUGAAUGCAGUUGUACCAAAUCCAAAUAACUUCCAAAACAUUCCACCAGGAGUACCACGACCUCCAGUCGUUCGUCUACCGCCUCCUUCCAAUCCUCUCAUGCCUCUAAUCAAGGAUGUUGUGAAUGGAAUAAUAAAGGAAUUGAAACAAAUUUUGAAGAGGGACUUCAACAGAAAAAUGGUGGAGAACACUGCCUUCAAAUCUUUUGAGCAUUGGUGGGAUGAACAGAAGUUAUUGGAGCAGGAGGAGAAGAGUACAGCAGGUCUCAAUAACGAGCUCUCGUCAACUCCCACCUCAUCUAAGGUUGAGAACACUGAGUCACCGAUUAGCAAGAGCUGUUUCCUAAGUACAUUUCUCGAUCACAAUAGAGAUGUUGAGUCUUACAAUUCGUUUGGACUCGGUUUCCGUGCCAUCAUGCCUAAAAUGCCAUCUUUUAGGAAAAAGAUACCUGAGCCCAUCCCACAGGAAGAAUCAAGAGACGAUGAGGAACAAGACAGAGUAGUAGUCGAAGAGGAAGACGAUGAAGAAGAAGAAGAACCCACAUCUCAGGUGGACUCGGGGAUCUCCUCUCAAGAGACAAUCAAAGGCCAGAGCCAAGAGGAUGGCCAGGACGAGGACUCCAGCAGUGAAUCGGACUCAUCGGACAGCUCCUCGGAGAGUUCUUCAUCCAGUGAUGGUAGUGAUACGAAGGACAGAGAACUAUGUGAAGACCUCACCAAGCUGAAGCAGAAGACUAAAAAGGAAAAAGAGGCCCUGGACUAUCUAGACAUUGAAGACAUUGAAAGACUUACUUUGCUUAAAACACCAGAUGAGGAGAUUACACCAGCUCCAUCUGAAAAUGCCAGUUGGAGUUCAGAAACACCUGAUAUUGAGACUCUGGAAGAACAAGGUGUAGAAGUGGUAAGUGCCAAAGAAGAUCAGGCAGAAGUGCAGCUUGAAAAGGAAAAGGAAGAAGUUCUGUCAUUACCAAAGACACCAACAAUUGUGUUGGAAAGCGGAAGUGAAGAUGAAACUGAUUUGGCCAGUAGGAAGGAAAACUUGAGCCCAGAAAAACUUGUUUCCGCCUCUUCUUCUCAAGAGUCACAACUCUCCCCACCACAGCUCUCUCCUCCUCAUAUUUUUGAGCCUGUGAAACCCGUGGUACAGAAGGAACACGCCCGGCCCAAGGUGAAUGGUGCAUUACCACAGGCGGUGCGAGAGAUCUUCGAGUGGCAGAACAAACGCGAAAGCGACAGGGACUCGGAUUCUCCACAUCCCCCUCAGAUAGCUAGAGAGCAUUCUUACUGCCUGCCCGUCCUAGCUCAUCAGACUGACAUCAACCACGAUCAUGGCAGUUACAGCUCUCGCACUGCCGGGAAGGGCCGCAAGAUGCCCUGGGAAGAGCCUCCUAUAGUCAUCAAAAAGCGCAAAAUCACCCCACCUCCACCUUGCAGUGUACCGAAAAUGUACAGCAAGAGAGAUCUGAUGCAGGAAAUGCAUGUCCUGUACGAGUUCCUCACAAAAGGCAUAGAUGACGAGGACGUAGCCUACAUGGCUCAAAGCUAUCAAACUCUGUUGACGGAUGAUGAUGUCAACUAUUGGCUCAACGAUACCCACUGGGUAGACCAUCCUGUAACAGACCUCUCCUCGUAUGUGCCCAAGAAGAAACGGGAUGACUGGCAUGUUCACAAGACUGGCUGUGCUCGGAGUGAGGGGUACUACAAGAUUGACAGGAUUCAGAAAGCUAAGCAUAAGCACCACUUUGGUCAGACGCUAGAGACAAAGGAGGCUGCCCCUGAGAAGCCAGACCCUAUCUGUCCCAAGCCACACAUGGGCAAGAUGCUUUCAAUCUCUCGAGAGGCAAGAAGCAAUCAGCGGCGCUUACUCACAGCGUUUGGUACAGUCACCGACAGUGACUUGCUCAAAUUCAAUGGUCUCAAGUUCCGAAAGAAGCAACUGAAAUUUGCAAAAUCCGCAAUACACGACUGGGGCCUGUUUGCAAUGGAGCCGAUCGCUGCUGACGAGAUGGUUAUAGAGUAUGUGGGGCAAAUGAUUCGCCCGUUAGUGGCUGACUUGCGGGAGAAGCAGUACGAGGCCACCGGUAUUGGGUCAUCUUAUCUGUUCAGGAUAGACUUGGAAGCCAUCAUCGAUGCCACCAAGUGCGGCAAUCUGGCUCGGUUCAUCAACCACAGCUGCAAUCCAAACUGUUAUGCAAAAAUCAUAACUAUCGAGAGUCAAAAGAAGAUUGUAAUAUACUCUAAACAACCUAUCGGUGUGAAUGAGGAAAUCACAUAUGAUUAUAAGUUUCCAAUAGAAGAUGAGAAGAUUCCCUGCCUGUGUGGAGCGCAGGGUUGCAGAGGCACUCUCAAUUGAACUCAACACAGUGAGAGGUUAAGAGAGUGUUUAUGCUCUUGUUGUUGUUUAUUUACAAUAGCAAGGUUCACUGUGAUAACCAGAAAUUCCAAGGUCAACAAACUGCUCCAUGUGCUACUUGUCAAAGGGUUCCAACAUGAAGAAGUACAAUGAUGUGAUAUCUCUACCAAUAAACUAUACCAUUGAAAAUUAA
rnacentral:misc_RNA from 1 species